rnacentral:rRNA from 1 species
CAUGUAGGCGGCAUGGCAAGUUUGGUGUGAAAUAUCUCGGCUCAACCGAGAAAACGCGCUGAAAACUGCCAAGCUAGAGUAUAGGAAGGGAAGCUAGAAUUCCAGGUGUAGGGGUGAAAUCUGUAGAUAUCUGGAAGAAUACCGGUGGCGAAGGCGAGCUUCUGGCCAUAUACUGACGCUGAUAUGCGAAAGCGUGGGGAGCGAACAGGAUUAGAUACCCUGGUAGUCC